rnacentral:rRNA from 1 species
CACGUAGGGGGCGAGCGUUGUCCGGAUUUAUUGGGCGUAAAGAGCUCGUAGACGGCUCAGUAAGUCGGGUGUGAAAACUCCAGGCUCAACCUGGAGACGCCACCUGAUACUGCUGUGGCUAGAGUCCGGUAGGGGAGCAUGGAAUUCCUGGUGUAGCGGUGAAAUGCGCAGAGUAUCAGGAGGAACACCAGUGGCGAAGGCGGUGCUCUGGGCCGGAACUGACGCUGAGGAGCGAAAGCGUGGGAGCAAACAGG